GUUCCUAUAGUUAAAUUGAAAUAACAAUGGCUUUUCAAGCCGUAGGUCCUGGAUAAAAUCCAGGUAGGAAUU
rnacentral:tRNA from 1 species